GACGAACGCUGGCGGCGUGCCUAAUACAUGCAAGUCGAGCGAGCGGAACUAACAGAUUUACUUCGGUAAUGACGUUAGGAAAGUGAGCGGCGGAUGGGUGAGUAACACGUGGGGAACCUGCCCCAUAGUCUGGGAUACCACUUGGAAACAGGUGCUAAUACCGGAUAAGAAAGCAGAUCGCAUGAUCAGCUUUUAAAAGGCGGCGUAAGCUGUCGCUAUGGGAUGGCCCCGCGGUGCAUUAGCUAGUUGGUAAGGUAAAGGCUUACCAAGGCGAUGAUGCAUAGCCGAGUUGAGAGACUGAUCGGCCACAUUGGGACUGAGACACGGCCCAAACUCCUACGGGAGGCAGCAGUAGGGAAUCUUCCACAAUGGACGCAAGUCUGAUGGAGCAACGCCGCGUGAGUGAAGAAGGUUUUCGGAUCGUAAAGCUCUGUUGUUGGUGAAGAAGGAUAGAGGUAGUAACUGGCCUUUAUUUGACGGUAAUCAACCAGAAAGUCACGGCUAACUACGUGCCAGCAGCCGCGGUAAUACGUAGGUGGCAAGCGUUGUCCGGAUUUAUUGGGCGUAAAGCGAGCGCAGGCGGAAGAAUAAGUCUGAUGUGAAAGCCCUCGGCUUAACCGAGGAACUGCAUCGGAAACUGUUUUUCUUGAGUGCAGAAGAGGAGAGUAGAACUCCAUGUGUAGCGGUGGAAUGCGUAGAUAUAUGGAAGAACACCAGUGGCGAAGGCGGCUCUCUGGUCUGCAACUGACGCUGAGGCUCGAAAGCAUGGGUAGCGAACAGG
rnacentral:rRNA from 1 species